UUAACCCAAGUUCGAAUUCCCCGCGCAGGUGCAAGGUUGCCAACAGAUGUCACGCCGAGCAGUGUUUACACGACAGCAGAAGAAGCAGGAUGGCUGAAGGUGGCAGAAACGAUGGAAGUUGGUGGGGUUGGAUCCAGAGUGCAGGAGAGAAGGUGGUCUCACAGUCAACGGAAGUGCUGGAGUUUGUGAAGAAAGACUUUAGCCAGAGUUUACCAAAGUUGUGUCGGAAGAGGCCUCGUCUGUAGUUUCAUCAACAGCAAACACUUUGAAGGAGAAGUUAAAGGUGAGGAAAUAAAUUUUUGAAA
rnacentral:lncRNA from 1 species